GGGGGGUAGAAUUUCAGGUGUAGCGGUGAAAUGCGUAGAGAUCUGAAGGAAUACCGGUGGCGAAGGCGGCCCCCUGGACAGAUACUGACACUCAGAUGCGAAAGCGUGGGGAGCAAACAGGAUUAGAUACCCUGGUAGUCCACGCCGUAAACGAUGUCUACUUGGAGGUUGUGGCCUUGAGCCGUGGCUUUCGGAGCUAACGCGUUAAGUAGACCGCCUGGGGAGUACGGUCGCAAGAUUAAAACUCAAAUGAAUUGACGGGGGCCCGCACAAGCGGUGGAGCAUGUGGUUUAAUUCGAUGCAACGCGAAGAACCUUACCUACUCUUGACAUCCAGAGAACUUUCCAGAGAUGGAUUGGUGCCUUCGGGAACUCUGAGACAGGUGCUGCAUGGCUGUCGUCAGCUCGUGUUGUGAAAUGUUGGGUUAAGUCCCGCAACGAGCGCAACCCUUAUCCUUGUUUGCCAGCGAGUAAUGUCGGGAACUCCAGGGAGACUGCCGGUGAUAAACCGGAGGAAGGUGGGGACGACGUCAAGUCAUCAUGGCCCUUACGAGUAGGGCUACACACGUGCUACAAUGGCGCAUACAGAGGGCAGCCAACUUGCGAAAGUGAGCGAAUCCCAAAAAGUGCGUCGUAGUCCGGAUUGGAGUCUGCAACUCGACUCCAUGAAGUCGGAAUCGCUAGUAAUCGUGGAUCAGAAUGCCACGGUGAAUACGUUCCCGGGCCUUGUACACACCGCCCGUCACACCAUGGGAGUGGGCUGCAAAAGAAGUAGGUAGUUUAACCUUCGGGGGGGACGCUUACCACUUUGUGGUUCAUGACUGGGGUGAAGUCGUAACAAGGUAGCGCUAGGGGAACCUGGCGCUGGAUCACCUCCUUAAACGAUGAU
rnacentral:rRNA from 1 species